AAGUCGUAACAAGGUUUCCGUAGGUGAACCUGCGGAAGGAUCAUUAAAGAAUCGCCCCGUUUUUUGAAAUGGGUUCUAUUCCAAACCGUGUCUAUAUACCUUUGUUGCUUUGGCAGGCCGUCCUUCGGGCGCGGCUCCGGUCGAGAGUGCCUGCCAGAGGACCCCAACUCUUUUGUUUUGUGAUGUCUGAGUACUAUAUAAUAGUUAAAA
rnacentral:misc_RNA from 1 species